rnacentral:rRNA from 1 species
UACGUAGGAGGCGAGCGUUGUCCGGAGUUACUGGGCGUAAAGGGUGCGUAGGCGGCUUUUUAAGUUUGGUGUGAAAUCUCCCGGCUCAACUGGGAGGGUGCGCCGAAUACUGAGAGGCUAGAGUGUGGGAGAGGAAAGUGGAAUUCCUGGUGUAGCGGUGAAAUGCGUAGAUAUCAGGAGGAACACCGGUGGUGUAAACGGCUUUCUGGACCAUAACUGACGCUGAUGCACGAAAGCGUGGGUAGCAAACAGG